UGAACGCUGGCGGCGUGCCUAAUACAUGCAAGUCGAGCGAACAGACGAGGAGCUUGCUCCUCUGACGUUAGCGGCGGACGGGUGAGUAACACGUGGAUAACCUACCUAUAAGACUGGGAUAACUUCGGGAAACCGGAGCUAAUACCGGAUAAUAUAUUGAACCGCAUGGUUCAAUAGUGAAAGACGGUUUUGCUGUCACUUAUAGAUGGAUCCGCGCCGCAUUAGCUAGUUGGUAAGGUAACGGCUUACCAAGGCAACGAUGCGUAGCCGACCUGAGAGGAUGAUCGGCCACACUGGAACUGAGACACGGUCCAGACUCCUAUGGGAGGCAGCAGUAGGGAAUCUUCCGCAAUGGGCGAAAGCCUGACGGAGCAACGCCGCGUGAGUGAUGAAGGUCUUCGGAUCGUAAAACUCUGUUAUUAGGGAAGAACAAAUGUGUAAGUAACUAUGCACGUCUUGACGGUACCUAAUCAGAAAGCCACGGCUAACUACGUG
rnacentral:rRNA from 1 species